rnacentral:rRNA from 1 species
UACGUAGGGUGCGAGCGUUGUCCGGAAUUAUUGGGCGUAAAGAGCUCGUAGGCGGUGUGUCACGUCGGCCGUGAAAACCUGGGGCUUAACUCUGGGCGUGCGGUCGAUACGGGCAUCACUAGAGUUCGGCAGGGGAGACUGGAAUUCCUGGUGUAGCGGUGAAAUGCGCAGAUAUCAGGAGGAACACCGGGGGCGAAGGCGGGUCUCUGGGCCGAUACUGACGCUGAGGAGCGAAAGCGUGGGGAGCGAACCGG